rnacentral:rRNA from 1 species
GAUGAACGCUGGCGGCGUGCUUAACACAUGCAAGUCGAACGGAAAGGCCCAAGCUUGCUUGGGUACUCGAGUGGCGAACGGGUGAGUAACACGUGGGUGAUCUGCCCCGCACUUCGGGAUAAGCCUGGGAAACUGGGUCUAAUACCGGAUAGGACAGUGGUUUGGAUGCCAUUGUGGAAAGUUUUUUCGGUGUGGGAUGAGCUCGCGGCCUAUCAGCUUGUUGGUGGGGUAAUGGCCUACCAAGGCGUCUACGGGUAGCCGGCCUGAGAGGGUGUACGGCCACAUUGGGACUGAGAUACGGCCCAGACUCCUACGGGAGGCAGCAGUGGGGAAUAUUGCACAAUGGGCGCAAGCCUGAUGCAGCGACGCCGCGUGGGGGAUGACGGCCUUCGGGUUGUAAACUCCUUUCGCUAGGGACGAAGCGUUAUGUGACGGUACCUAGAGAAGAAGCACCGGCUAACUACGUG